GUCUUUGGCCAUACCACCCUGAAUGUACCCAAACUCGUCUGAUCUCAGAAACCAAGCAGGGUCAGGCCUGGUUGGUAUUUGGAUGGGAGAACAAUUAAGUUUAGCAUACAUUUUAUUAUGUCAUAGAUU
rnacentral:rRNA from 1 species